rnacentral:lncRNA from 1 species
GACAUCAAAGCAGAUCAAUAAAUUCGAAUCUUGUUCCUACGUGAUCUUAUCAAUACGUGGCUUAAUGCUAGUAGGUUUGCAUCUCUACUUCUACUCUAGGAAAUGAACGAAUUGUGAAAAUGGAACCAUAGAUUCCCUUCAAGAAAAAGGAAUCUGACCAUAUCCGAUCAAUUCUUGGUUUGAUCCGAAUUCUUCUGUCCCCAUGAACCUAUUGGUUGUGGUAAGGUUUUGUCGACCUUAGGGUUUGUUCGAUAAUGAUUAUGAAAAUUAAUCUUUUGACUGUCAAAGAGAAAAGUGAGUCUUGCCUGUGAGUGAAAAAAUUAAAAAUAACGGCUAAAAUAGUGAAAUAACGGUUAAAUUUUUGAUUUUUUGGAAUGCAAAAUUGGUACCAAAUGGGGGGCUUAACUUUCAAUUAUAAACUAUUGCAUAAAUUAUAUUAUUUCACAACUUAUAUUUUGUGUUUGUUUGGUAGGGAUUUUUGAUAAUUAAUUUUUUAACUGUUAGAGAUAAAGUGAGUUUUACCUGUGAGAGAAGUAUUAAAAAAAAUGAUGGCUGAAAUAGUCAAAUAACGGUAAAAAACUUGAUUUUAAUUGGCUUGUAAGUUCUACCAAACAAGCUCUUUAUAUGAUAAACUUUCAGUUGUCCUGUAGACACAUGAAUUAUAUAAAUUAAGCUAUAAUUGAGAGAGUAAAAAUUAUAUAUUUCUAGAACCAAAUCAAGAUUUAGAUUUGUAACUCGAACCGAGAACUAGGAAUGUAAGCGGCGAUCCGUUUCGAAAAUUUUUAAUGUAUUUUCGAAUCAAAUUGUUUAAAAUAAUUUGAAAAAAUUCAAAUUUAAAACUAACAUAUUUGGUUCGAUUUUAACUUUGAUUGAGUCAUAAUUCCUUCUUGUUCACUUUAAUGUCAUUAGAUCAUUAGUUAAAAUACAUCUUUCUACUUUAUUGCCGAUGAAAUAGAACAGAUUAUAUAGUUCAAUUUAAAUACCAACUAAACCAAAACAAAAACCACGACAAAUUGUUUCCCUAACUUUUGUAGGCUAAAUAUGUACAAAUUAAGCCUAUUUAUGUCUACCGCUAUUUCAAAAAUAUUUUUUACUUUUAUCAAAACUCAUUUUCAUUAAAUAAUUGUAAACAAAUAAGUACCUGAGAGUUAAAUAUAAAGUCACAAUACAAGUCUAUUAACACAAUAUAUAAAGCUAUAAAACGACAUGAUGCUCCCAAUAACAUCUUCACUGUCAUUAAAACUGCAAAAUGGAAUCAAAUAGAUUUGGAGAAAUUAAACUGAGAGGCUUCAUCGGCCUCGUUGUUAUUGUCGCUUUACUUCUGGUCUCUAAACUGAUGGUCUUAUGGAGUUUUUGAAUUUUCGACGUUUGUAUUUGUAUAGUUAAAAUAAUGAGACAUAAACCAUAUUGCUUUGCUUAUAGACCUAUUCGGACCAGAACCGGAUCCAUUCUUGAUCUAAAACCAAAUAUUGAAUCGCUUACAAGUAAAAAUGUUCACCAGUGGAAUUUAGGUACCGCUAUUUAAAUCAACAGUUUUUAUAUAUACAUUCACUUUUAAAAAUAUAAUUAUGAUCUUAUAUAAAUAUACCUAAAUGGGCGGAGCCAGGAAAUUUUUUCAGUGCGGGCAAUUUAAUCGACGCCAAACUUUGAGUUUUUGGGUAUAAAUUUGAUGAUGAAAAAAAUAUAAAACAAUAUCACAAAAAUGCUAAAAAUGACAUAAUUCAUAAGUUACACUUAUUCCUUCAGUGUUUUCAUACUUUGAUAUCGUUGCACAAUAACUUCAUUAUCAAUCUUAAAAAAAUGUAUCUCAUUCAAAAAAUUAAAUUUCUAUAGUAGGAUGUAUUGUCUUAAAAAAAACUUAAAUAUCUCGUUUUUACAUAAAAACUCUGCCAAUUUGAUGUAUCCUAUCAAAGUUGAGAAGAUAAAACUUCGAUCGAUCAUAUUGCAAAUGUCUAUUACACUUAUUUUAGCAUACUAAUUUAACAAUAAUGGCAAGUGACCUUCCACUUAAAUACGUACAAAUGAGUGAUUGAGACUAACGACAUAGUCUAUUUUCAAUAGUGAAAAAGAAGAGGAAGCUAUCGAUGAAUACGUAACAAAGUUUACAUUCAGAGACAAAAAAUUAAAUUAAGCUACUCAAAUAAAGCUCUCCAAAAGAUUCGCUGCCAAUUUUUCUUCUUAAUUUAAAGUUUCCGCCAAUCACAUAAUCCAAAAUUAAUUUCUAAAAUCGAUAAAAUCAAAAAAAUCAAAAAAAUAAAUAAAAUCUUUCUUCAUUCCACAAUUAAUCACUCAAUACCAAAAGCAACAAAUCCAGACUUCAAAAAUACCCUUUGGAUCCACGAAAUCAUCGCAAAAAUUAAAUCAUCCAAAAAUCACAAAUGCUUAUUUAUUUUGAGUUACCUAAAAAAUUCGAAAAGUUUAUAAAUAUUGUCCAUCCCACAAUUGCAUUCCAAACACGAGGCUCUUAAAAAAAAAAAGGGUUGAAAAGGGCAUGGGCUCACCUGCACUGGACAUAUAUAAAAUUAAAUAAAAAUAUAUUGUUGUAAAUUCAUUUACUCAUGUUUAUUUUCAUAAAUUUUAACAUUUUUAUACUUUUUUAGAGUUUGUGUUUAACUAAAAUUUUAAUAAUGAUGAAAUAUCAUCUUUACCUAAAAUCAUGAAACCCUAAUCAUAAAAUAUCAUGUUCAACGGAAAUUUCAAAAAAAAUAAAAAAAUCAACACAUUAUUAAAGUUACAAACUUAAAAUUAUCAAUGGAAACACAAACCGUCAAAAUUAAGAGCUUAUAAGCGAAAAAAAUAAAUAAUAUCUGAUUCGAGUAGGAAUUUGUUUAGUUGCGUGAGUUAUAUACUCUUAAGAUAAUUCUAUAAAUUCAAGAAAAGAGAUUUACUAACCUUUGUAAUUAAAUAUUAAAGUACCGACAUGACAAUAUACAAAAUAAAAAGUAAAAAUCAAAUUAAAUAUUGAUAGUUAAUAUAUGGAUAUAGUGAUUUUCGAAAUUGUAUUAGUAAUGUAUUUAUAGUGGGAUAAAUAUAUAAAAUAUGUAUAGAUAUAUAAUAUUUUAAAUAAAUGAAUUUUAUAAGAACAAUAUUAAAAUUCGAUGUGAUUGAAAGUAGUAAUUUUUUUAAAAUUUUAAUAUUUUAAUAGGAAUACAUAUAGAGUAUGAUACACAUAAGAUCUAAAUAACGGUACCCUUGAAUUUAUCGUGAAAAAUAAUGUUUACCAUAUUCACUCGCAGAAAAUUUUGACUACUCAACAAAUAAUGCGACUUUGGUUCAAUUGGAGAAAAUUGCAGUGGAACGGACGAGAGAGGAGCAAAUUACAAAGAAAAGGUUAAAUCUAAACGGCCUGGGCAUCUGCCCGAGUCAUCACAGAACCAGAAUAAAUUUUCUAAUCUCGAACUCUCGAAGAACGUAACGAUGUCGUAUAUGCUGCCUCACCUCCACUCGGGAUGGGCCGUGGAUCAAGCCAUCCUCGCCGAGGAGGAACGCCUCGUCAUCAUCCGAUUCGGCCACGACUGGGACGAAACUUGCAUGCAGGUGAAUUUUUGCAUUAUUUUUCAUUUUUUUUAUCAAAUUAAUAGGCGAAUCAUUAUUUUAUUUUUUUCUUUUGCACAGUAUUCCUGUUAAUUAGAACCUCAAUAACAAUUUUUUUUUUCUUAUUGGGUUUUAGCUUUUUAUUUGGUAUUAGUUGUUUUUGAUCUGGUUGUUUUACCUCGUAAUUAGGGUUUCAUUAUAUUGGGUUGAAAUCCUGGUUAAAGUGAGUUAGUAACAUUAUAUCUAGAUGAGUGGGUUUGAUUAUAGUUAUGAUUAAGUUUAAUUCCGGAGUUCACUUUGAUUUGGACUGAAUGUUGAGAAAAUGUUGCCAGUCUGGUUCACCGGUACUACCAAAAGUCUCAUGCUUACCUCUUACUGAUGGUCUGAUUAUCUUGGACCACGAAGACCCCAGUCGUGCUUAAAGCCCUUACAAUAAAUUACCAGUAGUCUCUUCAUAUGCUGUAAACUUCUUUUCCUUUCUUGAUGCACCUCUCCCAACUACCUUUUAAGUCUUUCUUCUCCCAAAAAUGUGCCAUAACUUAUGGUCUUUGAUGCUCGGACUCUUUGAAAUAGUAGGAGUGCUGACACGACAUGGGUAUGGAAAUGGGAUAUGUGUCGGAUUCUCCAAAUUUCAAACGGACACUUUGUCAUUUUUGCUUAUCCAUCUUUUUCCCUUUUUUUUUUCCCCGUAUUCGCUCUCUAUAAACCUUCUUUUUCUUUUUUCCCCCCAGUUUCUUCUUAUUUUUCCUUCUUACUCUCUCUAUAACGGUAGUUUAGGGUUUCGUUUGUAUAAAACGAAAACGGGUUCUAUAAAGAGCUACUUAAUACUCUACUAGGUCCAAAUUGCAAUCAAAUUCCUCGUUCUCUAUUUUUUAUAACUUUUAGUAAUUCCCAUUAUUGAAAACCAAACCCCAAAAUUAUAUUUAAUUCCUCUUAACUCCCUAUUCAAUACUGAUUUCCUUCUUUGUUAAUAAUUUAUUUUGGUUUAUUUAAAACGAUAUUUUGGAUUAGUAAAAAAUUGAAGUUUGAAAGGCGUACCACGUACCCGUGUCCAAAAUUUGGACUCUUUUUAGUCAUGUCCCCAUAUUAUUUUAGAAAAUAAAGGAUCCGACAUUUAGAUACGUACCCGUAUCGAUACCUGUAUCCGAGUCCGAGCAUCAUAGCUUAGGGUUAGAGCAAUGGGAAGGCCGUAGUAGAGAGACAAGUAAAGAUAAUGAGUGCUCUGUCUGCUUGGCAAGCGGCAGGAGCUAUGGGCAAGUCCGAUUCCCUCUAAUGUCAAUUUCUUAUGCAUUCAUGGUGCCCGGCCGGUGCUCCUUUCUCUAUUCCCUAUCCUCUGCUAUGAGAAACGUAAUUGUGUGGAACGUAAGGGGGCUGGUAGGACCAAUAAAAGAAGGUUAAUUUACUCAAUCUUUAAAAACGGAUGAAACCAAACCAGCACCCCCCCUCCCCCGGGGGAUCAACUACCAGUUGGGACUGAUCACUUCUAAUACUCUAUGACAAAGAAAAAAGAAGGUCGGAAGGGUCAGCGGAUGGGGAGGGGGACAUCUUUCGGCUAGGCAUUAAGUUGAAGAUGUAGUUCGGUGGCCCCUCCACAGGGGUACCUAUCCAGAAAUAUUGUUGGACAAUGAAUGUGGUUUCGAUCCUUUCGUUUCAAUAAACGACAAGUUUAUUGGAGUAAAGCAUAGCCUUGCUUGCUGUAUGAAGUGAUUCCUUUUACCCCACUAUUUUGUGUUUGAUUUCUUUGGAGAUUGAAGGUUUCAUUGAAUGUUUAAGAAAGCUCUGUAACUGCUUUUGUUCUAUAGGUCCUUUUGCAAGUGUUAUGUAUUAUGUUUCUUUCUUUUACCCAGUUCCAUUGGUGCUUGUGAUAAAUUUUAGUUCUAGUAAUAGUUUUUUAUUUUUAUUUUUUUUAUAUUUAUUUAUUUUUUAUUUUUUUGAACUCGAGUAAAAUCAAAUAAGGUUUAAAUGGAAGUAUUCCAACUCAUGACCCGAGGUUUUAUAUUUUCCUUCCGAUAGAUUUACAUUAAUAUAGUAGCGACUGAAAUUUGUGUUACAAAUUAAUAGGUUGAAUAACAUAAUUUAUCUGACACGGAGAGGAUGGUGGUAAGGAGGAAGAAAUUUCAGUUUCCCUGGAGAUAGUAUCUUAUUUACAAUUCUUCGUCUACGCAUUUUAGUUGGCUGAAUUCAUUUUUGUUAUUUGCUUGAUUGCUCUUGAUAACUUCUCAUUAUUCAUAAGUUGAUCUGCAGACUUCUAAUUCUGUUUUGGUUGUUUACAAUUCGAUUUGUUUUGGGUUUCAGAUGGACGAGGUGCUGGCUUCAGUUGCUGAAACAUUAAAGAACUUUGCAGUUAUUUACCUUGUGGAUAUCACAGAAGUGCCAGAUUUUAACACAAUGUACGAGUUAUAUGACCCGUCCACCAUCAUGUUCUUCUUCAGAAACAAGCACAUUAUGAUUGAUCUUGGCACUGGAAACAACAACAAGAUCAACUGGGCACUGAAGGAUAAACAGGAGUUCAUCGACAUCGUCGAGACGGUCUACCGUGGUGCAAGGAAGGGCCGUGGUCUAGUCAUUGCUCCGAAAGAUUACUCCACCAAAUAUCGUUAUUGAGUACUCGUCCUACCCUUUAUGCAUUAUAAUAUCUUACAAUCUUCUUGUAUGUUGAUUUGGUGAAAACCUUCACAAUUCCAGUUCCUAUACGGAACUGGAUUCUUAAGCUUCUAUGCUAGUUAAAGGUCUGAAAGAUUUACGCAGCAAUUAAUGUCUGGUUUGUGGUGUUAUUGGAUGGUCUUUUGUACUUUAUCCAUGUAUUCAGAUUUGAGGAUUUAUUAUCAGGUGGCUUGAAUCUUUAGAGAGGCGACUCUUGAACUCUACUUCGCGUUCUUUUUUGGUGUUUCAUGUUAAAAUUUUUAGAUGAUUUUCAUGACAUCGGAUAUAUUUCUGUGAAAUGAUGUCUGAAUUCUUCAAUGCUAUUCAUCUGUAUGUUAGUUUAGUUAGUGUUAUAUUGUCUAAUGAAGUUGUACUAUGGUGUAUAGUAGUUGUACUAACUGGAAAAAAACAUAGGUUAAAAGUCUUUGUCCUCAAAUCUUUUAAAGAAGUGUGAGAAAUGCCGUUAACCAAUUUUAUUUGUACCAUUAUCCCAACCUAUAGGAAAAUAGGCGAAUAAUGCCAUUUAGCAGCAAUGGUACGAAAACGUCGUUCCAAGUAUCAUAAUGUGAUAGGUUUAAUUGAAGGCGAAAUUAUAUAAUUCAUUUAAUUGUGCCUCUCAUUUAAUAUCACUUAAGUGCAAGUUAGAUCGGUAUUUUAUUACAUGUGACUUUUUGUAAGGUUGGAGAUGAGAAGUUUGUUUAGAUGGACUUUUAAGUUGUAUAAAUUAUAUCGGAGAUUUUCACUUUUCUUUUCCAACAUUCACAAAAUAUACAAAUUCACCUUCAACAUAUGUAACAAAAUAUAUCCCUACCUUCCAAUUAUGUAGCAGAACUUGUCAUUCUAUCCAUUUUGUUAAUCAACGGGCGAAUUUGCUUUCCUCCUUAAAUAAACAAAAAUAAAAUAAAGGAAAAAAGAAACGUCGUUCCAAGUAUCAUAAUGUGAUAGGUUUAAUUGAAGGCGAAAUUAUAUAAUUCAUUUAAUUGUGCCUCUUAUUUAAUAUCACUUAAGUGCAAGUUAGAUCGGUAUUUUAUUACAUGUGACUUUUUGUGAGGUUGGAGAUGAGAAGUUUGUUUAGAUGGACUUUUAAGUUGUAAAAAUUAUAUGGGAGAUUUUCACUUUUCUUUCCCAACAUCCACAAAAUGUACAAAUUCACCUUCAACAUUUACCUUCCAAUUAUGUAGCAAAACUUGUCAUUCUAUCCAUUUUGUUAAUCAACGGGCGAAUUUGCUUUCCUCCUUAAAUAAACAAAAAUAAAAUAAAGGAAAAAACGAGAAAAAAUUGCAAAAUAGUCCCAUAGCUUUUUAAAAAGUACAAAUAAACAACACUUAAAAUAAUUAAAUGCAUAUUAAAAAAUAGAAAAAUAAACAUUUCAUAUUUCCUAGUCAAGCUCACCCAUCCACUAGGAAACUCCAACUCCUUCCAAUUUUACACCAUUCGCUGUCACACACUCCCUCCACAUAUAUAAGCAUUCCAACAAUGGUACCACCAACACGACAACCUCCACCACCUUGAAAAAAAAAAAAAAAAAAAAAAAAAAAAAAAAAAAAAAACCCAUUUUUAUGUCGGUCAAGAAAUAUAACUAUUUUAUUUAAUCUUCUUUGUGCUAUAAGCUGUCCUUAUUUUUCAGAUCGGUUUGGAUUGUCAUUUAGCCUGAAAUUUAGUCAUUUGUAGCUCAAGUAGAGAGAUCCAAGAGAAGUUUUUUCUCCUUCAAAACAUUGUAAUGUAUAUAUUGAGUGUCGACGAUUGAAAAAAAAAAAAUGAUUAUUGAUUUUCCUCCUCAUGAGAUUGCAGAAUAUUAGUCAUGCGAUUAAUUAUACCGAUGGGUCAUUUCUGUUUGUGUGGAGGAACAGAACUGGUGCAUACUUAGAAUCAACUAUAACCUACUAAAUGCAUUCCUUUUUCUGUAUUCUAAUAGGUUAUGAUGCUUUUGGCUGUUGUUACACUUCUUUAUCAGGACACUUGGUUGGGAUCCUAAACAAGGGGAAGGUCACCUUGACGCCAUGUUAAGAGGAGAAUUUUUGACCAAAAUGGAGGAAAAGAUGUUUUGUUAUAUAAGUAAAAUAGUUGGGGAUGAAUUAUUGUGCACACAAAUAUUGUGGAUAGAUUCGUCAGGUUUCGCCAAGAUUGGUGAUAAAAAGUGCAAAUUUCUUAAACUAUAAAGUGAUAAAAAUGAUUAGUGAAUAAAUGGAUAAUAAUGGUGAGCCGUUCGAAGAGUGUGAUUAAAAUUGAUGUUUGAUAUUGACAAUUAGAUUAUAAAAAAAAAAAAAAUUAUAUAUAUAUAUUUUUCAAACAUACAUGAAAUCCACAAAAAAAUCCAAAAUUAAAAUUCACACUUUGUUAAAAAAUUAAAAAAAACUAAAAAAAUUGAUAAAUAGAAAUUCAAAUUUAGGUGGAUUGGAGCCCACCUUUACUUACCCACUGUUUGUACUCCAUUUUAAUGAGAAUUUGAGGAAAAGUGAUUUUUUGGAGAUUGUGUAGUUAAAAAAUUAAAAAAGUUCGAGCCUCAGCCUCUUGCUCAAAACCCAAAUCAAGAAUGGCUUCAAAAUUGGUUUCCAAGAAUUUUCAUCUCUACUUUGGGAACUUCUGAUUCCAUUGUCAUAAAAGGAUUAACAUGUUGUUCAGUAUGCUUUCUUAUUUACAACUAAUUGUUAUUUUAUCCAAUGGUGUAAUUAUUGUUAACAUGGAAACAACUGUUUAUUUCUUGACAUUCUUCGGCUCGUGCAACAGUAUGAUCCUAGUGCUUUUUCAUUCUACACCUUCUUCCAUUUUCUGAGUUUUGUUUAUAUAACUCUCUACAUCCCUUUAUUUUGUCCAACAAGGCUGCGCGUAUAGAAAGAAUUGUUCAUAGAACGGACUCACAUGACCCAAGCUCAAAUAUAUAUUUCUAAUUGGGUCAACUCUUAAUCAAUUGAGUUACAUCUACUAAUCCCAGCUUAAUCUACCAAAAAAUUAAGACUGCGCUCUCGAGUGGAGUGAUAGUUAUAGAAGUAAAUUAUGAUCUAAUAAUAAUAUCCUCCGAUUAUCGUUACACAAGUCAACCCCCAUUUGACGUCCAAUAUGUUGAAACUAGCAAAAUGACUGUUUUGCCCUUCAACAUGUAUUACCCUUUAAGUUCCAUUUUCAUACGGCAAAUUCGUUGUGAUCAAAUCACGAUAUAAAGUCCAACGAUCUUACCGUCGAACUACUCAGUUCAGGUUCAAUUUGCCUAGGAAAAUAUUUUUGAGUGAGAUCGUCUCAUCUUAAUGAUUAAUGAAUUCCACUAUUGCAAGUAUAUGAUCUCUAAUUGUUUCGAUCCGAUUCUCAAAGCACUGAAAUCAAUCUUCUAUUUAGGACUUCACUCAUUGAUACCUCAAAGAACUUGAACUAGCAAUUAAAGGUAUUAAGUUCGAACAAAUUUGGGAGUUGGGUACAUCCAUUUUUCCCUCCCUGAAUAGAUUUUUUAAACAGAAAUUCAAAUUAAAGGAUUAUAACAUUCAUUUUCGUCGAUUUAAUUUGAACAGAGAGUCAUGGCGAGACAAGCUGUUUAUCAUUACAAUGUCUGUCAAGUAAAGUACAAUGAUAGAUGCAGUGUAGGCAUAGACAUCAAAGCAGAUCAAUAAAUUCGAAUCUUGUUCCUACGUGAUCUUAUCAAUACGUGGCUUAAUGCUAGUAGGUUUGCAUCUCUACUUCUACUCUAGGAAAUGAACGAAUUGUGAAAAUGGAACCAUAGAUUCCCUUCAAGAAAAAGGAAUCUGACCAUAUCCGAUCAAUUCUUGGUUUGAUCCGAAUUCUUCUGUCCCCAUGAACCUAUUGGUUGUGGUAAGGUUUUGUCUUGUACUUUUAUGUUGAAACCUUAGGGUUUGUUCGGU